UCGAGCCGCAUGAGGGGAAACUCUCACGUACGGUUCCAAGAGGAGGACUCCCCCGUGAGGGGGAGCCCUUACUCGAC
rnacentral:ncRNA from 1 species